GGGGAUGUAUUGUUUCGACAGGAUUUGCUCUUUAAAAACUGCAGGCCGAAUACGAUUCUAAAGUGCGUUAAACUUUGGAUCAAAACUUACGUGCAAAAGAUAAAACUGAUGCACAGUUGUUUGCCUUUACAGGUGGACAACCAGCUCUUGCAUUUGCUUAAAAACAAACCAUGAGCUUGUCUUUUUAGUUUUCCCUCAGUGAAACUAUUGAGGCACAAAUUCAGCUGAGGUUGGACUUCAGUUUUGAUCAAACUUCAGUCCGAAAUUUCGAUCUUUGCUUAGAUUUCGUUUGUUAGUCGACUAAAGAUUUAAGCGAGAUUUAAAAGACUAACUAAGCUUGUAGAUGUUUUUGGAGUGUAGUCUUGGACGCCGGGUCACACUCGGCCAUCUCCACAA
rnacentral:tmRNA from 1 species